rnacentral:lncRNA from 1 species
CAUGUUUGAAUUAGGAGUCCUAUACUUAUUGAAACAUAGGAAUCAUCUAUAAAUAGAGAGGAUCUCUAUCUAUGGAUGUAUUGAAAUCAAUAAGAAACAAAUCAGAUUGAGAGAAGAGAGAAAGAGAGAGAGAGGUGUGAGAAGAGGGAAGCCCUUUCCUCCUCCCUUGGCAUCUCCCUUGUGCCCGCCCCUUUCUCCUUGCCAUGGGGGCCAUCUUGGGUGU